CUUUCAUUUUUGAAAAAUCCUAUUGUUUUUCGACAUGAUUUGAAAGCACUUUGCUUUUGUUUGCGUUCAGUUAUUUUGUAAGGAAAUUCAGCAUGCCGAUUAACCUAAGGACGGAAUGCAAUGAAUUGCUGGUGUCCGUAGUUGGCGGUCUCUCUAUGUGAGGUUAAAGAGGGUCUUGAAGCUGCUGCACAUUAAGCACAAUAAAGCUAGUGCUUAUCACGCCCAAAGUCAGGGGGCUUUGGAGCGUUUCCAUCAGACGCUUAAGUCCUUACUACGUGCGUAUUGUACGGAGAUGGAGGGGGAUUGGGAGGAGGGACUGCCGUGG